rnacentral:lncRNA from 1 species
CGAUACCUUUGGAGGCAGGCCACUAACCUCCCUAGCGUGUGUCUAUGUCAAUGAGUUGAAAAAAAAAUAAAUGGUGAUGAGAAGAAAAACAGAUAAUACUACUUUAAGAAUUAUGUCUAAGAAAGAACUGUGGGUAUGGUAGCUGGUAUAUCCAACUGAUUGUAAGCAAAGAGAUGUAAGUCUAUUAGUUGCUUUCUAUUUUUAAUUUUUUAAUUUUUAUGGAUACAUAAUA